rnacentral:misc_RNA from 1 species
GAUGAAGAACGUAGCGAAAUGCGAUAAGUAAUGUGAAUUGCAGAAUUCAGUGAAUCAUCGAAUCUUUGAACGCACAUUGCGCCCGUCAGUAUUCUGGCGGGCAUGCCUGUUCGAGCGUCAUUACGCCCCUCAAGUCCCCUGUGGACUUGGUGUUGGGGAUCGGCGAGGCUGGUUUUCCAGCACAGCCGUCCCUUAAAUUAAUUGGCGGUCUCGCCGUGGCCCUCCUUUGCGCAGUAGUAAAACACUCGCAACAGGAGCCCGGCGCGGUCCACUGCCGUAAAACCCCCCAACUUUUUAUAGUUGACCUCGAAUCAGGUAGGACUACCCGCUGAACUUAAGCAUAUCAAUAAGCGGAGGA